AAGGGAGACCUAAUUCCGGUAGGAGACGAAAAAAAAGUAGUCCCUACCAAGAAUCAAUCCCAAAAGGUCGAAGCGAGGCAAGAUUGGCUUUCAAACUAGGUUCUGGGUUCAAACAAGACCUGAAUCAGGAACAAGGGCUAUUAGCUCAGGUGGUUAGAGCGCACCCCUGAUAAGGGUGAGGUCCCUGGUUCGAGUCCAGGAUGGCCCACCUGCACAGGUGGCGAAAACAAGAGAAACGAGGAAUCAGCACCUUAUCUUACUUACAUAGUAAGAGAGAAUGCUGGCUCUGAGUAAAGAGUCCAGAGGAACCUUGAAAACUGCAUAGAGCUAGGUGAAAAAGCCAAAAAAGAAGACCGCAA
rnacentral:tRNA from 1 species